UGUGUGCAUCCUGUGCCCAUGGAGCAGGUAUCACCUACUAAGAGCUAGGUGCCCUUCAUGGCGUCGUGGACUUGUUUUCUUUCCUUUUUUGAGCAUGAUGGUUCUGCAGGUGCAUUUUAAGUAACUGUGAACUCUGCUGAGACGACAGGUGUCCUAGAGAGAGCCCAGCUGCACCCUUUUUGUUCAGGCUGUUCUAUUCUCUCCUGAGAUUAAAAGGGACUUGAAAAACCCAGAAGUACAACUUGCACUUUCAGGCUGCUGUUCCAGCCUGUCAAGUGGGUAUCAUGCAGUGUGACCACCAUUGGGGCAGGAGGGAAGUAGCUGAGAAAUUCAUCUGCCUACAUGAAGUAGCAUGUCUUGAAAAUGGUCAUAGCCAUGAUAUAAUUAGCAAGGUCAUAGAAUCCUAGAAUCACCAAGGUUGGAAAAGACCUACAAGAUCAUCCAGUCCAACCGUCCACCUGUCACCAACAGUUCUCACUAACCUGUGUCCCUCAACACGAUGCCUAAAUGUUCCUCAGGAGCAUGCAGUGUUUCAGAAUGACAGAAGGUCUGGAGCCAGAACCCACCCCUUCCCAGCCCUCAUUGAAGGGCUGGCAGUGGAGGCAAGGGGAUCUCACUGGAGAUCCCUGCCUACCUGAGUCCUUCUGAAGGUAAGCAGCUCCUUGCCUUGAUUUCUGUGCCCACGGCUGUUGCCUCUGAGCAAAUCCUCCCUUGCUGCAGCCUUGGACCUUGCUCCUCUGCUGUCAUGGCUGUGCUUUCCAUCGCGCCUGGCCUCAUUGGGCUCAACCCCGCUGACGGAUAGAUGUGUUGGUUUGGUUGGGGUGGUUGCAGUAGCUAAUGGCAAAACCCUUUCCUGAGUGCAACUAAAGAGAUAAGUGAGAAAACAAGAGAGUCUCGAGAGGAAAGAGUGACUGAUGGCAGUGCUGUCCUGGAAGCUACAGUGGAAGCAGUAGAGAGGCCGAUAGUGGCUGUUGGUGUCAGUAGAGCGAUACGAGUCUGUGUGUAAAUGGUGGUUCUUAGAGCUGUGUUAAUUCCUUGAAGAGGCCUAGCAUUGUGGAGGUACUUGUACUGACAGUUGUUUGACUCAGGAAUGAAGUGUGUUUCCCAGUUCGUGAUAACCUGAUAGCGUUGUGUUUGCUCGUGCAGCUGUGCUCUGUGCAUUGUAGAGCUGUCAGACAGAUGUGGGUUCACUUGCCACUCUCUCAGCAGGAAUGAGACUAGUAAUACUUUCUGUAAGUGCAUUUCAGUUGAAAAAAUGAUUUUGUUUUGGCUGUAGAAAUGCUGUAUUUGAGGGAUUUUGGUGGACGUGGGCUAACAGGACAAGGAUUCUAUUGGCAACUGCUUUCUGUGACAUGGAAAGGGUAUACUUUGUUUUAGGGAUGGAGCAUGGGAUUCGAUUGACUCUUACUGAGAAAGGGGGAAGUGGAAAGCCUCUGUGGGUAAGAACGUUUUGUGAGCUGUAGUUUGGGUACCUUCAUCUAAGUAGGACUGUAUGAAAGGGUGCGUGUGAUGGAGGAGAGGGGAAAGUGCCUUGUGUGGACUGUAAGGAAGGCAUAAUGUUACAGAGUGGAGAGGCAAAUUUAAGAAACUCUGCUUGAAAACUUGAAGGUAGUGGCUGGCUGUGCUGAAAUCUUCUUCCAAAGAGUUGCUCUUCAAGUAUUUCCUGCUUUCUCUCUGCGAGAAACUGACGCCAGUGGCCUUCCACUGCAGCGUGGCCGUGCGGAAGGGCUGGGGAACAAGACAGAGCUAGAGAAGGCACCAAAGAGAGCUACAGGUACACAGCAGGCACCUGGACUUGAUGCAUUGUCUUUCUGCCCAGGCUUUCUGUUUGUUCAUUCCUAGGACAGUUGUCUGCAGUUUGCAUCCCAGCUUUCUCCCAAGCCCUGGCUGCACAAAAAUGCAAGCAAUCAGAGGAAGAGAAGGAAAAAGCAGAGGAGUGGGCUUCUGAGAAAAGAGCUGAGGGGGAGCAUGAGGAGCUUGAGGCAGUGUUUCAGAAAAGUAGUGCUUUCACUUAGGAUUGUCUGAGAUUUCCUUGCCCUGGGUUAUGAUUGUGUGUAGCUAUUGGUUUCUUGGUGCCUGUGUAUCCGUUGGUACACAGAUCAGUGUGUGGAAAAGACAGCUGAGAGUGCAGGACAUGGCAAUGUAUUUCUCCUGGCCAAAUGUGCUGAGGUACUGGAAGGAUUGUGAGAAAGACCAGAGAGAAUGGUUUCAAGCUACGGCAGGAGAGAUUCAGGCUGGACAUGAGGAAGUAUUACUUUUCGGAAAGGGUGGUCAGGCACUGGAAUGGAUGCCCAGGGAGGUGGUGGUGUCACUGACCCUGGGGGUGUUGAAGGAAAGACUGGACGUUGUGUUGAGGGACAUGAUUUAGUGGGAGCUGUUGGUAAGAGGUGAACGGUUGGACUGGAUGAUCUUUUAGGUCUUUUCCAACCUUGGUGAUUCUAUGAUUCUAUGAAAGAGAAGAGAACCUGGAUUUCUCUUGCGCAACAAGUCUGUAUCAGUUCUGUCUCCUUUCACUGAGCUGAACGCACGGUUUGUGUGAAGCCUUCUGAUGGGAAACCCAUGGUCUCCACAAAGUGGGCGCAGAAGCAAAAUGAAGCUGAGAUGCAUCUGUGUGCUGAGUCCUACUGCUACUGCAGAAAAAGCAGCUUUGGUAAGAAUAGUGGUGAAGGUAGGAGAGGAUAUGGAAGGUUUAGACUGCUCUUAGAGGCAAGGUGGAAGUUUCAAAUGUUGUGCAGGUUCAGCAUGCUCCUACUGCUUUGGUGUGCCGCACCUGCCUGCCCUGUCAGCACUACGUCAGGCUUUUUUUUCCUUUUUAAGGUAGGAAAACCAAUUUCUGGCUAGGAGAAGAAGAAAUGCAACAAUCUUCCCUGCAUUGCUCCUUGGGUAAUGGGUGCUGAUGAGCAGUCCUUGUAUUAGAAUAAUGUAUUGUAAUUUGAUCUUUCUGUCUUUGCACUCUUUUAGCAACUGGGGUGUUGAUGCAGCUGCACGUAUCUCCUGUUUUGUCCUUCUGCUUUGUGUAAAAGAAAUGUCCACUAUGCAAUCUCUGUGUGAAAUUUUCUUGAAGUAUUUUACUUUAUUUGCCACUAGGAAGCAAUGGCUUGGAAGUGACGGCGGCGUCACCCAGCAGCCCACACAGUGACCUGAUGUCUCAUUGCUUGGGUCUGUUAAAAACCACCCUGAUGAGAAAAGAACGUUUGCACGGAUUCUGUGCUGACUGUGUCAGUACAGCCCUGAGGAGUGGUGUGGACAUGGCAUGGCAGGGAGAAGGCAGUUCCCUUCUGAUGGGAAAGUGCCCGAGGAAUGUUGACAUCCCGUGUGUUGGUGCCCCAUGCCCGCUCCAUGCCCGUGCCCCAUGCACUUCUGAACAGGCAGCUCAGCUUUUGUGUCAUUCAGCCACCUGUGGCAAAACAGACCAGGCUUUCUGCAGACGUGGAUAAUCGUCCCAUCACUUUCUGCCUUAAAAGGAGUAGAAAACCUUUUCAUUUUGGAGUCCUACUUACUGGAGCUUAACCAUCUCCAGUGAAGCAGAUGUCAUUUUUCUUGUAUCUUUCAAUUCUGAGUCCAUGUUCUCCCAAAAGCAAAAGAGUUUGGAGGUAACCAUGAACAGUUAAGUGAGUGAUUUCAGUAUUUAUUUCUGAUCGUGACAAUUACUUCAGUUUAGAGGUCACAAUUAAUGUACUGUGCCUGUUUUAAUUCUGACCAAGGUUGUAGUUGUAGCUGACUUCCCAAGGCUGCAAUACGUGGUGACAAAGCCGUGGGCUUCUGCAUUGGCAUUAAUCCCACGUUUCCUUUCUGUGCCUUGCAGGUCAGCUUGUGCUGGAAGUGGAUGGCAUCAGAGUGUGAGUGAAGCCUGUCCAGGUCUCGCUGAAUGGCAGCACAGCCUUCAGGCUGUCAGCCAAUCCUCCCAACUUCGUAUCAUCAGCAAACUUGCUGAGAGUGGCCACCAUUGCCUCAUCAAUGUCAUUGAUGAAGAUAUUGAACAAGACCGGACCCAGCACCAACCCCUGAGGAACACCGCUGCUUACAGGCCUCCAGCCAGACUGCACCACCAACGACGACCCUCUGUGCUCUGCCAGUCAGCCAGUUCUCAACCCACCUCACUGUCCACUCAUCUAUCCCACACUUCCUCAACUUUGUUGUAAGGAUGUCAUGGGGGACAGUAUCAAAUGCCUUGCUGAAAUCAAGGUAGACUACAUCCACUGCUCUCCCCCCAUCCACCCAGCCAGAGACAUCAUAGAAGACUACCAGGUUGGUCAAGCACGACCUCCCCCUGGUGAACCCGCGCUGACUACUCUUGAUAACCUACUUUUCUUCCAGUUGUCUGGAGGUGGCAUCCAGCAGAUCUGUUCCAUCACCUCUCCAGGGACAGAGGGAUCCUUUCCAAAAGGAGAUUUUUGGGAUUGAGGCAGUUGAAGAAAGAGUGAAGCCAGGGGCAGUCCCUGUGGAGAGGACCCCAGGAACUGAGAUUCCCCACCACUGUCUCAGCAAGGAGACAGACGCAGUUCCCAUUCCUGCUCUGCACGUGGAAAGGUAUGGCUGGGUUUCUUUGUUUGGGUUUUCUUCCUUUCUCUCACUUCGAAGGGGAAAAGUUGGAGCAGGGGGAGCCUUACUGGUACUUUGUUACUUGUGUAACUGGUUGGAUUCUGCAUGUGCUGCAACAGGACAGCAGAGCAAGGCUCCUUAACCUUCUGGGGCAGGGUGGGAGCAGAGAGUGGGCACAGCCCUCCUGCCAGCUGCACCUGGUUAUGGUUUGCCAGGCCCCUGCUGCCCUGGAUUUCACCUGAGAGGUUUGUUCUAGCUGCUUGCAGUGGUAAAAGAUAGGGAAGAAAUGGAAGUCAAGAGCUAAGGCUCUACACGGUAACUUUGCAUGGAUUGAACUGUGGCACCUGAAGACACAGGUCCAUUCCUGAAUAAUGCUGGCAUUUUGCGGGUGUGUUGGUUUAACCCCCUGAACUGAUGUCUGUGAGCACCUGUCUUCUCCACCUGAACAAUAAGAAAGCUAGAUAUGCCCAGAAAUUGCAGCAGUUGCUGUGAAUACUCUCCCAAAUGUUUGUUUCUUUUAGUGAUAACUAAUGGCUCAGCACUGUGAUCUCGUGUCUCUGGCACGAUUGGAAUGCUUCAUCUCUUUGCCGAUGUUGGGUGCCUGUUUCUAUGGACUCAUGAGCACUCACAGAGGUCACAACUGUUGCAGGGGUGGGAGCGUACCACAGCUGGUGUUUCCAGAGAGGCUCUAAAUGCCUGUAGAAAUCACAGGAAUUUCUCCUUUGCAUGUCUUUUCUUUGCUUAGCUUUUUAGUCGUUAUUGUCAUAUAUUUCUUCUUUACUUUGAGAAAUUUGGGAUGGCAGUUUCUUGUUUUUUACUUUCUUUGAAUCAACUGUUUUGCCAUGAUAUUGCAUUCUAUGUCUUGCUUUUUCAGUGCUAUUCCUUUGCUUUGCCAGCUAGUUUUUGUUGUUUUUUUUUCCCCUUUCCAUAUUCCUUUUCUUUACAGCCCCAUUUAACUAUGCUUUAUUGUUAUUUUUUAUACUUUUUGUUUCCUCUUUUCCAUUCCCGCUUUUUUUCAAAUCACUUUUCAUGGCAUUACUUAGAGUUUCUCUACUUGAAUACCUUAUAUUUUUUCUCUUCCUUUCCUUGUUGGAACCCUACCUCGUCCCCAUUGGCUGCUUCCUUCCACUUACCUUGCCUUUCCUUACCUGACGUUAGCUCCCUGGUUCUUCAUUCCCACAUCCUGGGUGUAAUUGCCUCUUUCC